GGCAUUACAUUUUAGGGUUUAGGGUUUGGGGUUUCGGGUUUAGGGUUUAGAGUUUUAGGGUUUGGGGUUUAGGGUUUUUUAGGGUUUAGGGUUUUAGGGUUUAGGGUUUGGGGUUUAGGGUUUUAGGGUUUAGGUUUUAGGGCUUAGGGCUUAGGGCUUUAGGGCUUAGGGGUUUAGGGUUUAGGGUUUAGGGUUUAGGGUUUAGGGUUUANAUGCAAUUGAUGUGAUGCAUAUUUUAUAUGAAAUUAUCUGUUACCAAAAUAAUAUGUGUGAUACUUAUUAGAAAAGACAUAAUAUUUUUGUUUCCUUUUUUUUUUUUUUUUAGAGUGAGAACGGUAGCAAAUAACCUCUCUUCGCUCAAUUUUAUUUUUUUUACUUUAGAAAUAAAAACAAUUAGAAAUGUAAAGCAAUAAAGUUUUGACCUUAAAAUCUCUGAGUAUUCAAUAAUAAAAAAAAAUCCUUAGCCAGAAAUGCUAGGGUUUAGAGUUUAGGUUUUAGGGUUAGGGUUUUGAAUUUUUAGGGUUUAGAAUUUAGAAUUUGGGCCCGGAAGUGGUCGGCGAAUCGGAGCUAGACUUGAUCUCGUCCAUUAAUAAAAAGUGUACUUAGUAAAACGUGCUGGACCAUUUAGUUAACACCGGUUCUCCUUCCAUCUCACAAUCACCCCCCCCUGACAAUUUUUUAAAUAGACCAUUUAUUAUUAUUAUUUUUUUUCAGUGAGACCUCUGUACUUUUUUUUUUUAAAGGAAUCAAUGUUGAGGGAGUGUAAUACACUAUUAAAUACAAAGGAUACUAUACAACGUACUAUGAUAUACAAAGUACAUUGAAAAUGGCCCCCCGGAACGGCCCACACAUAGAGGGACCUGGGCAUUAAAAGUAUAUAUUUGGGCUUAAUAGGCCGAAUUUUAUUAAUGGAUCAGGUGACGCCCAGUACUGGUUAGCCUUUUUUCUGCUCUAGGUUAAAUUGCGGUCUCGUUAAUAGCCCACAAAUGGAAAGCUUCACUUGUGGAGCAUAAUAUUAUGCUGUAAGUUGCCUUCUUUUUUCUUUUUCUUUUUUUUGGUGAUAAGUUAUUCUUUGGUUAAGGGCCUUUUUCUUUUGAGCAAUGAAAAAUAGAUAAAUUUGGAGAAAUCACACAAAAUUAUUCCUUUUUAUUUGUCGUAAUCAAAAAUAAAAUAUAUGAAGAACACCCGCUGUUUGUUUUUUAAAAAUUUAUCUUCUUUUUCUUUUUAUCGACAUGUGUAUAUGGUUUAGGGUUUUUAGGGUUUUAGGGGUUUAGUUAUUCUGACUAGUUUUGUUAUUCUAUUUUUAACGAUUUUGAAUUGAUUUUUUUUUUAUUUUUUGUUUCAAUUUCAUCGUCAUGAUUUAAGGUUGCUGUUGUUCAUGUUUUGUUGUCCACAAUUGCUGCUUCCUUUUAAUUCAUAUGUGUGCAGAGAUCAUCAUGUUUGAAAAAAUUUUAUUCUUUUGAUUAAACUUUCCAUUCUUGCAAAUUUUUUUUGGUAACAUUUUGUAGAGCAAAACCAAAUAUUCGAGGUAUCCUUCCUUUAUAAGAUAAAAUUUUCUUUGUGUUUUUAACUCAAUUUUGUUUUCUUUUAUUAUUUAGUUAUUUUCUUUAACUCUUUAGCCUGGCUAGUUUUGUACUCUCUUAUAUGUUCUUUUUUUUUUCCGCCAAUGUUUCUUGUAUUAUUGUGUUUAAAUGCUAAACUCAAUGAUAACAUAUUUGUAUUUCAAUGUUCUAAUUUUUUAAAUGUUUCUCUGUAUGAUUGUAUGUUUUGUACUCUCUUUUCUCAAUACUUUGUUUAUGAAACCUUUAUAUGGGCCCAAACAACAUGAAAAUUUAAAUACGAUGCUGGCUCAAAAUCAGAUAACAGUCAUAUGGGCCUUUCUGAGCUCCAAAUAAGCCCAGUCCAUAUUUAACCCAAAUCUAAGCCCAGUCCAUACAGGCUCACGUAAGUUACAUAUGGGGCCGAGGAAGAACCCCAAGACUAAGCCCGAGUCACACCCAAUUAUGUGGACUUUACACAAUCCUAGAUCAUGCUUGGGGCCUUUAAAGGCCUUUCGGGCUUUGCGGACUUUAGGGCCUUCACGGGCUUACUUUUAUGAGUUUUAUUUGGUGUAAGGCCUUGGGGCUUGGGGGCCCUUUGAAAGGCCUUUCAGGCUUUGGGCUUUUAGGACUUUAGGGGCUUUAGAUUUCGGGCUUCAGGGUAUGGGCCGCGACUGUGUGUGAAAAGCCCGGCCUUCUUUCCUUAUUUGGUAAAGUCUGUUUUUGAUGUGUUUCGUUUUUUACCAAAAAGGGAAAGUUUGGGUUUUGGACCAUGCGUAAUCCGUUAUUACUCUUUUACCCCAUAUACACCCAUCAUAUGCUGGUCCCACACGUCGGUUUAACAGAAAUUUUUAUUUUUAUUUUUUUAUUUAAUUUUUGGUUUUGCAAAAAUAAAAAUGUGUAGUUGGUAAUAUAAGCAAAAAUGAACACAGCACAAAAUAUUGAUUUUUUAUGUAAUAGUAUAUAAACAAAUUUUUUUUCCUUUUUUUUACACAUCCCGGUUAAUGUUAAUUAUAUUUUCUGAUUAAUGCAAUUGACGUGAUGCAUAUUCUAUAUAAAAUUAUCUGUUAUCAAAAUAAUAUGUGUGAUACUUAUUAGAAAAGACAUAAUGUUUUUCUUUUUUUCCAUUUUUUCUAUUUUUUUGUUUUUUUUUUUUUGAGAGAGAUAGAACGAUAGUAAAUAAUCCCGCUACGUUCAUUUUUUUUAACUUUAGAAAUAAAAACAAUUAGAAAUUUAAAGCAAUAAAGUUUUGACCUUAAAAUCUCUUGAGUACCGAAUAAUAAAAGAAAAGUCCUUAGCCAGGAAUGCCAGGGUUCAGUGUUUAGGUUUUAGGGUUUUAGGGUUUUUAGGGUUUAGAGUUUUGUUUAGGGUUUAUGAUUUAGAGUUUAAUGGCAUAAUAUGGAAAUCUAAAAGUUUGAGCCAAUAUUUAAUUCACUGAUUUGCUGCUAAAUAGCACAUGCUCAAGUUUUAUUUUUAUAAUUGUCAGACAUUUAACUUUCAAAUUUGUUUUCAUUUAAGUAACUUCAGUAAAUUAAGUUGAGAGUUUUAUUAAAUUUAUUGAUAAUUUUAUCAAAUUUAAUAAUUAUAAUUAUUUUUUAGCAAAUUGAGAUUUUCUAAAGUUGGUAAACUGUGUAAAAAAUUAUGAAGAAAAUAGUCAAAUUCUCUCUUUCUCUCUCUCUAAUUAUGGCGAAAUUAUGAAGUUGAAAGAAGCUUUAUUUGCAGAUUGAAGAACUUCAAUUUUUAUAUUGGGGUUAUUUAUUAAUUUGGUGUGAGCAUGAGGACACUAAUGGACAGUAUUGAUUACGUUUUUUGAGAUGGAUUUUUUAGUAUAAUUUUUGAAUUUCUAUAGUGAAAAUAUGUAAAGUUUGCAUUAAUUUUUAUCACUAAUACUCGUUAGAUUUUCCUCCAUUGCAUUUUCUGUGUUUAUUUAACUUUCUUUCUCCUUAUUCUCUCAUUUUACUGAUCAUCGCUAAGCCACUCUUCUUUCUUUCUUUUUUUCCAUCUAUUUCUUUGUCUGUUCUACAAAAUGCUACAGAACUUGCUCUAUUCUGCGUUUUUCUUCCUUAAUUUUGAUAUAUAUUUGGGAACCACAAUUUGAACAUUUAUUGGGGGCAAAGCUAAUCAAACUGUAGAUAAAUGUCCAAGACGAAUCUAAAUUGAAUUAUACGGACAUUAUCUGACCCAAUUCCAGCCCAAUGGGAAAAAGAACCCAAAUAUGAGGUUAAGCAUUUAGGCUUCCCCAAAGUUAUAAAUGGGCCUGGGUGUAAGCAAGUCUAAAACCAAUUACAACUAAUGUUAUGGGCUUUGCGAUUCAGGUUUAGGGCCUUAAGGAGCAUACUUUUCUGAAUUUCAUUUUGUGUAGAGCCUUCGGGCUUGGGCGCUUGGGGCCUUUUAAAGGCCAUUCGGGCUUUCGGCUUUUAGGACCUUUAGGGGCUUUAUGGAUUUUAGGCUUCCGGGUACAGGCAUCGGGCUUCGGGCCUUGGGGCAAUUUAAAGACCAGUGUCGGACCUUAGGGGGCUUUCGGGGCUAAAGGAUUUCGGCCUUGGGGCUGUAUGGUUUUAGGGUUUAGGGCUUUAAACUUCGGGCUUUAGACAUUGGGCUUGAGGUUUCGGGUUUAGUUGCCCACUCAAAGCAAAUCUUUGUAAUAUCUCUAACCAUUUCAUGUACAAAACGGAAUUGAUCAUGUGACAUGCACCCCACCACCUCAAGAUCAACUUAGAUUCGCCAUGCAAUAAAUAUAUAAAAAGACUACGCCACGUAUCAUUAAUAUAUUCAUUCAUUCAUGUUAAAAAAUUGCACCAAGCUUUUUCUUUCUCCCCAUGGCCAUGAGAAAGGAAUCAAGCUCCCCAAAGCAAAAGCAAAGCUUGAAGAUAAAGAGCAAAGAGAGAGAUAUAAAAACGCCAAAAAUAUUAUAAAAAAAGCAUCUUUAACAUCAAAGCUCUCUUUACCUUUCAUCAUAGCAAACCCCCCCUAAAGCAAUUAAAUACUCAGAUGCUUCUCCUCUUUUGCUUAGUUCACUCUUUCACCUACACAACUCAAAUUAAACUAAGCUAUGGCUCGGAUAGAAGCUGUGAUCAUUUGCCUAUUGAUUGUGAUCAUGGAGUUUACUAAGAACUUAAUGGUGUUGUGAUUGAAAUAUAUAUAUUUGUAGGGGAGGCACUUAAGGGUGUUCUUCAUUGAGUGCACUUUAUAGGGGAAAUUACUUACUAAGCCCAAGUCACACCCAAUUAUGUGGACUUUACACAGUCCUAGCUCAUGCUUGGGGCCUUUUAAAGGCCUUUCGGGCUUUGCAGACUUUAGGGCCUUCAGGGGCUUACUUUUGUGAGUUUUAUUUGGUGUAAGGCCUUGGGCUUGGGGCCUUGGGGCCUUUUAAAGGACUUUCAGGCUUCGGGCUUUUAGGACAUUCAGGGGCUUUACGAUUUCGGGCUUCAGGGUAUGGGCCGCGACAGUGUGUGAAAGCCU
rnacentral:lncRNA from 1 species